rnacentral:rRNA from 1 species
AGUGAACGCUGGCGGUAGGCCUAACACAUGCAAGUCGAACGGCAGCACAGGAGAGCUUGCUCUCUGGGUGGCGAGUGGCGGACGGGUGAGGAAUACAUCGGAAUCUACUCUGUCGUGGGGGAUAACGUAGGGAAACUUACGCUAAUACCGCAUACGACCUACGGGUGAAAGCAGGGGACCUUCGGGCCUUGCGCGAUUGCAUGAGCCGAUGUCGGAUUAGCUAGUUGGCGGGGUAAAGGCCCACCAAGGCGACGAUCCGUAGCUGGUCUGAGAGGAUGAGCAGCCACACUGGAACUGAGACACGGUCCAGACUCCUAAGGGAGGCAGAAGUGGGGAAUAUUGGACAAUGGGCGCAAGCCUGAUCCAGCCAUACCGCGUGGGUGAAGAAGGCCUUCGGGUUGUAAAGCCCUUUUGUUGGGAAAGAAAUCCAGCUGGCUAAUACCCGGUUGGGAUGACGGUACCCAAAGAAUAAGCACCGGCUAACUUCGUGCCAGCCGCCGCGGUAA